rnacentral:rRNA from 1 species
GAUGAACGCUAGCUACAGGCUUAACACAUGCAAGUCGAGGGACCGGCGCACGGGUGAGUAACACGUAUCCAACCUGCCCUUUACUCGGGAAUAGCCUUUCGCAAGAACGAUUAAUACCCGAUGUAAAGGAUGGGGUUGCGUUCGAUUAGGUUGUUGGUGAGGUAACGGCUCACCAAGCCUUCGAUGGAUAGGGGGUCUGGGAGGAAGGCCCCCCGCGUUGGAGCUGAGACCCGGACCAAACUCCGACGCGAGGCAGCAGUGAGGAAUAUUGGGCAAUGGGCGUUAGCCUGAACCAGCCAAGUAGAGUGAAGGAGGAAUGCUUAUGUGUCGUAAACUUCUUUUAUAUAAGAAUAUGUAUUAUAUGAAUAAGGAUCGGCUAACUCCGUGCCAGCAGCCGCGGUAAUAC